AUAGAUAUGCUGGAUUUCGUAUCACAAAAUCACAAGUCGAACAUUUCCCAAGUGUCUAGGACUGUGUGAUGUAUUUUCGGAUGAUGCGCACAGAUCUCAGUAGGGUGGCCUUUUGCAGUUGGCAGAUCGUAAUUUUGUCAAUGUCUAUUGUUUCCAAAUGCCGGCUGAGGUCUUUUGGUACAGCACCCAAUGUGCCCAUCACCACCGGGACCACCUGCACUGGUUUCUGCUAGAAUCUUUGAAGUUCAAUCUUGAGAUCCUGAUAGCGGCUGAAUUUUUCCUGUUGUUUUUCAUCAAUGUGACUGUUACCUGGGAUGGCGACAUCAAUGAUCCAAACCUUUUUCUUUUCCAGAACUGUGAUGUCUGGUGUGUUGUGUUCCAGAACUUUGUCAGUCUGGAUUCAGAAGUCCCACAGUAUCUUUGCGUGCUCAUUUUCCAAUACUUUUGCAGGACUGGAAAAGGUGCAGAAAGGAGCAGCUAAAAUGUUCAGGAGGAGGAAGAAGGAUGUUUGAUCUUCCCUUCAAUAGAAGAUCUUGCAAAAACUGUCGGGCAGAGUGAAGGAUUUGAGAUGAUGGUGGACAGUUUACGAAGUUAUGUGACAGUGCUUUGCAGAUGGAGCAGCAUAAGACCAUGAUAAAAGUAGAAGUAUAGCAGCCACCAAUAUGGGCAACUGCAAGAUUAUAUCACAAGAGGAAGCAUAAUCUCGACUUGUUUACAGUUGGAAGAUGGUUGACAAUUUAUUUUUAUUAGCAAGAAACUCAAUAGUCAAGUCAUAAAUCUGUCACUGUAGCACUGAUUGUGACUUGUUUACCCUUCAGAAAACUCUGUUAGACAUACAGCACCAUUAUAUGCAAAGAACCAUUUUGCAAUCCAUAAAUUGGGUGUUUACUGAUUUGCAUUAUUUGUGGAGAAGCUGCUGCAUUUAUUAUUUAGGUAUUUGCCAAGAGGGCAAUAGGAUUUGACACAGUGAAGGCACCUAUGGGCUACAUUUAGUUCUUACUGGGUUUUGUGAACCUCCACACCAUCAACAUUUGACACAAAUGCAACUGCAUUUUUGCAAUAGAACAGGGAAUAUUGGGAAGACUCUGGGAAGUACAAUUCUUCUCUCGCACAAGGGAGGCAAGACUGACCUAUGGACUUUUAAAAGUUGCCAUUCCCUAUCUUUUGUUUAAAACAACUGCAGUGGUGCACCAAGAACAAAAAUGUAUUAUGAUUUUUCACCAUGAAUUUGUUGCAGCUAAAAGUUAUAUGUCUUUUGAUUCUUAUAAAGCCACUAAUCAGAAUGAUGAUAUGCUAAUACAUAUCAAUCUAUCUAUUCAUCCACAUACACUGCAUUUGAAAGCAACAUUGGAUACCAAUCUAACCAUAAUUACCAGUGUAAAAUAUACCAUUAACCACUAAGUAUUAGUGAAAAUGUAGUGAUCCAUGCCAAACGCAAUGAAUACAAUGUCCUGUUGGUCAUUGGUGAUCCAACUAUAAUUGCCUUCCAAAUGUUGUGUCUUGGCGGUGGGUCCAUAGGUGACUGUAGAGGCCUAUUGUUGACCUGCAUGUUCUUCCAUAGUGAGGACAUCAAUUUCCAGGUGGAAGGCAGUCCCAGUCAGAAUUAGCUUGACACAUCUUCCUCUUGUCAUGUUUCUCCCUUUAGUCCUCCAUUUGUCCUCUUUGAAUUCCACAGUUAGAAUGUUCAAGGGCCAGAGCUUCUCAGUUCUCGGUGUCUAUGCCACAGUUUUUAAUGUUGGCUUUGAGCCUAUCUUUAAAUCUCUUUUCCUGCCCACCAACAUUGUUUUCCAUUCUUGAGUUGGGAGUAUAACUGCUUUGGGAGGCAGUGAUCAAACAUUCGGACAAUCUUUCCAGUUGGAUUUCUUGAGCCUUUUUUGUUCACCAGAUGUUCUUGAGUUCUCUGGUCCUUAUUAGGCCCUCAGCUUUUUCACUGUUUCUUAGCAGUGCAGUUGGUGUCUCUCUGCCAAAUUUGGAAGGCUUUCCUUUUCUUAUCAAUUAACUGUUGGAUCUCAUUAUCAUUUUCAUCAAUCAAGUCUUGAUGUUUCUUAGUUAUCCAAUAGUUUCUUCACAGGCUGUGAUGAUGGAGGUCUUCACUUUAUUCCAAUGUUCCUCAACAUUUUCAGGUUGUUCUAUGGGUAGAUGAGUCUUGAGCAUUGUUUGGAGAAGGGCUUGUUUGGAGGGCUCUUGAAGAGCUGGGAUGUUAAUUUUAUGCCUUAUCUUUCUUCCUCGGAGUCUGUGUUUGGGGGUGAUCUUGAUAGAUUGGAUUAACCAGUGGUCUGUCCAGCAGUCAUUAGCACCUGUCAUGGCUCUUGUGAGGCAGUCUCUGGCACAUAUAAUUACAUAGUCUAAGAGGUACCAAUGCUUUGACCGGGGUGCUUCCAUAAUGUCUUAAACUUGCUUUUAUGACGGAAGAGUGUGUUUGUGAUGAAAAGGUUGUGUUCCACAUAUUUGGUAAGAAGCAGGAUGCCAUUCGGGUUGCUGUUUCCAACUCCAUAUUUUCCUAUGGUCCCUGGCCACAGGUUGAAGUCUCAUCCAACUCUCAUUUUAAAAUCACCCAGGAGGAUGAUUUUUGUCCUCCUUAGGUAUCUCUGCCAGGAUGAUGUCCAGCUGACAGUAAAAUUUUUACUUAUUGUCUUAACUCGCAUCUAGUUGGUGUAGGCACUUAUGAUAGUUGCCUGUUGGUUUUUGGUAAGGCUAAUUUGGGGGAUUGAGAGUCAUUCAUUAAUGCUGAUGGGUGCUUCAGAUAGAUGCUUCACCAAGUUGUUUCUGAUAGCAGAGCCAACUGUGUGUAUUCUUCAUUCAUCUUCAGGCAGUCCUUUCCAGAAGAAAGUGUAAUCUCCAUUCUCUUCCUCCUUCAGCUGCCCGUCUCUGGCUCUCUGGGUCUCCUGAAGUGCUGCUAUGUCAAUGUGAAAAAGCAUACCAGCUCCCUUGCAAUAAUAGCAGUCCUGCAUUCAGGGUGUUCAUUAUCUGUGUUGUCCAACAGGAUAAUUUCAGCAAUAUUUUAAAUGCUUGCUAUCAGUCACUAACAAUUAUAAACCUACAUAAAAAUGUGAUUUUAUUUCAGAACUUCCCUCUGCCAAGUAAGUUUUUCAAGAAGUUGGAAGUUCUCCUUUGGGUUUAAGAUAACUGAGCUUAGAAGAGUGCUUAAUGCAAAGAGACAGGAAGAAACUGACACUGAAAUAUAUGAACAAGAAUGACUGAUAAAGAUAAAAAGUAUUUUCACUCAAAUGUAUCUCUUAAGCCCAUUUGUACUUUUUUGCCAAUGAUAAUUAUACAUAGCUUGAUUACCGUUUUAAAGCUCUUUUCCUCCUCCAAAGUGAAACUUAAAUAUUUAUAGUUUAAUUAAACUAAAGAAAUUAUUAGAAACACUGCAGAACAAAUAAUAUUUACAGCAGAUUUUGGAAAUCACACUUUACGUUGCAUUACUGCCAUCUACUGUUCAAAACUGUGUUAAGAACUGGUUCUAUCUCAAUAGUUUUGCUUAAAUGUCACUACUAAUUUUAAUGAAAAACAAACUUUUUCUUAGGAUUUCAGUGUCAGGAGCCCCCGGUGGGAGAGUGAGUUAAAUCCUUGGGCUGGCAGAACUGAUGACUUGAAGGUUGGGUUGCUGAUUUGAAGGCUGCCGGUUCGAAUCCAACGCAGGGAAAAUGUGGAUGAGCUUCCUCUAUCAUAUCCAGCUCCAUGCGGGCACAUGAGAGAAGCCUCCCAUAAGGAUGGUAAAAACAUCAAAACAUCUGGGCAUCCCCUGGGAAACAUUCUUGCCAAUUCUCUCACACCAGAAGCAACUUGCAGUUUCUCAAGUCGCUCCUGACAUUUAAAAAAAAGUGUCAGAGGCCAAAAAAAAUGAGUUCACGAUGUCUUUUUGGAAGAUUAUGAGUGUAAAUAUUGUUUUACAAAUGUCAGUAACAAUGUAAAGUUUACAAACUCACAAGCAACCUGAAGCUAACUAAGGAAGCUAACACGGAUUGCCUUAAAACAAGAUCUGAAAUCAUGAUUUCCAGCAAAAUUGUUAGCUCUAGCCAGAGCUACCCCUAUACACAUCUAGAUUUAAAUUACAGAAGGGCAGGGUGAAAGAAAAGUAUAACCCUCUAAGACACUUAUGAUUUUCCAACCCUGGAUUUAAUACAGUAGAGUCUCACUUAUCCAACACUCGCUUGUCCAACGUUCUGGUUUAUCCAACACAUUUUUGUAGUCAAUGUUUUCAAAACAUUAUGAUAUUUUGGUGCUAAAUUUGUAAAUACAGUAAUUACUACAUAGCAUUAUUGCGUAUUAAACUACUUUUUCUGUCAAAUUUGUUGUUAAACAUGAUGUUUUGGUGAUUAAUUUGUAAAAUCAUAACCUAAUUUGAUGUGUAAUAGGCUUCUCCUUAAUCCUUCCUUAUUUUCCAACAUAUUCGCUUAUCCAACGUUCUGCCGGCCCGUUUAUGUUGGAUAAGUGAGACUCUACUGUAUUAAGAAAAAGUUUGGAAUACAUCUUGAUCAUUUCAACCAUAUUUCCAUAACAUGUUUCUGCUGAUUUAUGUGCCCCACAAUCAACAAACAGUUUUGGCUUCUACGCAACUAUAAUUUCUGAGUCUAAGUGCUUAUAAUACUUGCAACAAAGACUCUGUUCCUGCUAGUCUUUGGGAAUCCUGCCAAAACUCAGUCAUUCAGUAAUGUUAAACAUGAGAAAUUGGAAAUCAAUUCAUUAUAUCAAUAUUAAUACAUGAAUGUGUUCAAUCAUUUGAAUUACUGCUAGCUAAUUUAUUAAAAAUGCAGACUAUGCUACUCUCCUUAAAACACCUUGUUUGUUAAGUAUGAAUAAGAAAGAAAACUGUAAUAUCAAAACGUUCAGCAUUCCUUAUUGACCAUAUUGAUUAGAGCUGCUGUGAACUGUAAUACAAGUACAUAUGGAAGGCCACAUGAUUCCCACUCCUACAUGAAAGCAUAGAAAAAACAAUCAAUUGUUAAUUUCAGCUAAGGAAAAAGCAUCCACUACAAGUAUUUGGUUACAAGAUCAGACAGUGAAUCAAAGGUGGACAGUUCUUAAUCAAAAAAUGUUCUCAGUACCUCUGAGCACCUGCGGAACAUUUUAAUGUACAACUCAAUCACUACAUGUUGUCUGUCUUCCACUCUCUAUCAGGAAAUGUGAUUUGCAAAGAUCAGCUGUAGAGCAUAUGUUUUGUUCUCAUAAUUCAAUGAGACAUAUGUCUGAGUAGAUUUAACAUAAAAGAAACAAAGAAAAACAUUUAUCCCAGGGGUGUCAAUUUAACUAGUAUCUUUAAGUUUGGCUCCAACCUUAGAAAGCGUGUUAUCCUCUAAAGAAAUAGACGGGCAAAACGUAUCAUAGGAGAGAGGGGAAGGAAAGAAGGGGAGGAUGUGUGUGAAAGACAGGAGAGGGGGGAAACAGAGAGAGAGAGAGAGAGAGAGAGAGAG